rnacentral:tRNA from 1 species
GACAUACCAGAUCGUCUUGA